rnacentral:rRNA from 1 species
UGGGGAAUUUUGGACAAUGGGCGCAAGCCUGAUCCAGCCAUGCCGCGUGCGGGAAGAAGGCCUUCGGGUUGUAAACCGCUUUUGUCAGGGAAGAAAUCUUCUGAGUUAAUACCUCGGGAGGAUGACGGUACCUGAAGAAUAAGCACCGGCUAACUACGUGCCAGCAGCCGCGGUAAUACGUAGGGUGCAAGCGUUAAUCGGAAUUACUGGGCGUAAAGCGUGCGCAGGCGGUUUUGUAAGACAGAGGUGAAAUCCCCGGGCUCAACCUGGGAACUGCCUUUGUGACUGCAAGGCUUGAGUGCGGCAGAGGGGGAUGGGAUUCCGCGUGUAGCAGUGAAAUGCGUAGAUAUGCGGAGGAACACCGAUGGCGAAGGCAAUCCCCUGGGCCUGCACUGACGCUCAUGCACGAAAGCGUGGGGAGCAAGCAGGAUUAGAUACCCUGGUAGUCCACGCCCUAAACGAUGUCAACUGGUUGUUGGGAAGGUUCCUUCUCAGUAACGUAGCUAACGCGUGAAGUUGACCGCCUGGGGAGUACGGCCGCAAGGUUGAAACUCAAAUGAAUUGACGGGGUCAUAGCUGUUU